GCCUUUUGGCUUGGUGACAGUGACAUUGCUGCAGCCUGGGUGACAUUGCUGCAGCCCCUCAGCUGGGUGACAUGGUGACAUUGCUGCAGCCUUUUGGCUUGGUGACAGUGACAUUCUUGCAGACACUCAGCCUGGGUGACAGGGUGACACUGCUGCAGCCCCUCAGCUGGGUGACAGGGUGCCACUGCUGCAGUUACUCAGCCUGGGUGACACGGUGACAAUGCUGCAGCCC
rnacentral:lncRNA from 1 species